GGAAACUAUAUUUUGCUGAAAACAUUUAACUUAAAAACACAUUGGAAAUAUCUGACCUAUCAUACAAGUGAUCUCAGAUACAAUCAAGGAGUGAGUAAAGGGCAGUUUUUUAGUUGACUACCAAGCAGAGAAGAUUGUUUGACUUUGACUAUGAAGUUUCUCUACAUCUUAAGUCUGCUCUUCCUGGCAGUCUGUUCAGUGCUCGCUGGCAAGUCUGGUCUCCGGGCGGCAGCUACGUACAAGGAAUGUAUUGAGUGGUGUGGUGAUGACAUUCCUUGCAAAAUAGGCUGCAGCAUUCAUUAUCCUAAUAAAUAAAUCUACGGUACUUUGACUUUAAGACUAUUCUCACAGCUGAUGCCCUGGAAUAAAUUGUCUCGUCCUUCUGGAGAAACUUACUGACUGUACACAAAAUGCAAAUAUAUAUAUAAGCAAAUAAAAAAUUAUAAAAUACUUUGUUA